rnacentral:rRNA from 1 species
GACGAACGCUGGCGGCGUGCUUAACACAUGCAAGUCGAGCGGUAAGGCCCUUUCGGGGGUACACGAGCGGCGAACGGGUGAGUAACACGUGGGUGACCUGCCCUCAGCUCUGGGAUAAGCCUGGGAAACCGGGUCUAAUACUGGAUAUGACUCCAUGACGCAUGUUGUGGGGUGGAAAGCCUUGUGCGGCUGAGGAUGGGCCCGCGGCCUAUCAGCUUGUUGGUGGGGUGAUGGCCUACCAAGGCGACGACGGGUAGCCGGCCUGAGAGGGCGACCGGCCACACUGGGACUGAGACACGGCCCAGACUCCUACGGGAGGCAGCAGUGGGGAAUCUUGCGCAAUGGGCGAAAGCCUGACGCAGCGGCGCCGCGUGAGGGAUGACGGCCU